CUGGCAAGUGAUGACACUUACUGCCCCAGUCUGACUUACCCAAUGACUGAUUAGUAUGUCUGAUUGCCA